rnacentral:lncRNA from 1 species
GGCUGACUGACAAACAGAAGCUGCUCCACGGGUCUGUCCUCUUGCAGAGACUUUAUCUGCUUCUCUAUUCAGAGGCCCCAGUGGAGAGGGAUUCAUUCUGGAACCUUAAGGCAGAUGAUUAUACGAUGCUGCUUAAUCUAUGUCUGCGAACUACCACCAUCACGUCUGGAAAAAAGCGACUUCACACUAAUACAGCAGAGGAAAACCAUAGGUUGGCCAAAAACGGAACAGAAUUUACAAGGGAAAACGAAGGUUCCUGGAGUGAUAUGGUGAGUAGUUUCUAACCCAGAAAAGUAAGACUUAAGCAUGGAUUUUAAAUGUUAAGCUCGAGUAGGUAGAUAACUAAAGUUAAUCUCUUUAAGCCUC